GUUAGGCUUUACAGGGUUCGUAGUCUCCAAGACCAAAAAAAUUCAAAGACUUUCAAAGAUUUUUUCUGCCUAUUUUGAAAGACUUUUCAAAGACCUUUGAGAGCAAUCAGCUGUCGAAAAAUUGCGAGUGUGAGCAUCAUUGAUUCAAUCAAUCUAUUUUAUUAGCUAGGAAAUCGUAUAAUCAAUUCCUCAAUAAAGAAUUUAAAGACCUU